CCCCAGGGCUGGGGCUAGAGAGUUAGUUCUCUGGCAGCAGCCAAGAGGGAAGGAGUUCUCAUAGAGGAAGCUAACUGGAGAUGCUUGACUGCCUGUUCUGAAAAUCUCAGAUGCAAUUUCCGAAUGGGGAAAAAAUAUCUACAGACCCUCCCAGGACCUUAUAAAAGAGAAAAAAAAAAAGGUAUGGCUGAUGCAGUGAAUAAUAUGAUCUCAGCAGAAGGAAAACAAAACUCAGGAGACAAGGAUCUCUGCUCUGUUCCCAGCUCUUUUCUUUGUAGAGGGCGGAGAGCUCCUAGCAAAGGAAGACCCUGCUGCCAUCCUUCUCUCUACAUGUGAAAGAGACCUCUGCAUGGAAAACAUGUACCCUGCUAUCCCACCUACUGCUACCUCCCUCAGGGACACAUUACUGCUCUCCCUUCUAAAUGUUAAUGGCAGUGUGGGUGACUUCAUUGGAAAGAAUAAAAGUUGUCAUUUCA